rnacentral:rRNA from 1 species
AACGAACGCUGGCGGCAGGCUUAACACAUGCAAGUCGAGCGCCCCGCAAGGGGAGCGGCAGACGGGUGAGUAACGCGUGGGAACGUACCUUUUGGUUCGGAACAACUCCGGGAAACUGGAGCUAAUACCGGAUAAGCCCUAACGGGGAAAGAUUUAUCGCCGAAAGAUCGGCCCGCGUCUGAUUAGCUAGUUGGUGAGGUAACGGCUCACCAAGGCGACAAUCAGUAGCUGGUCUGAGAGGAUGAUCAGCCACACUGGGACUGAGACACGGCCCAGACUCCUACGGGAGGCAGCAGUGGGGAAUAUUGGACAAUGGGCGCAAGCCUGAUCCAGCCAUGCCGCGUGAGUGAUGAAGGCCUUAGGGUUGUAAAGCUCUUUUGUCCGGGAAGAUAAUGACUGCACCGGAAGAAUAAGCCCCGGCUAACUUCGUG